CGGAUGAACGCUGGCGGCGUGCUUAACACAUGCAAGUCGAACGGAGAAAGGGUAGCUUGCUAUCUUUCUUAGUGGCGGACGGGUGAGUAACGCGUGGGUAACCUGCCCUUUGCAGGGGGAUAACAGUGAGAAAUCACUGCUAAUACCGCAUACCAACUUCUUUCGCAUGAAGGAAGUUUGAAAGAUUUAUCGGCAAAGGAUGGACCCGCGUUGGAUUAGCUAGUUGGUGAGAUAACAGCCCACCAAGGCAACGAUCCAUAGCCGGCCUGAGAGGGUGAACGGCCACACUGGGACUGAGACACGGCCCAGACUCCUACGGGAGGCAGCAGUGGGGAAUAUUGCACAAUGGGCGAAAGCCUGAUGCAGCGACGCCGCGUGAAGGAUGAAGGUCUUCGGAUUGUAAACCUCUAUCAGCAGGGAAGAAAGGGCCUAUGGCCUAUGACGGUACCUGACUAAGAAGCCCCGGCUAACUACGUG
rnacentral:rRNA from 1 species